GGCGCCGGCUCUCGGGCCGCCUUUGCGCCUGGAGCAGAGAAACUGCGCAGGGCGCAGGCUGCCCCCGAGCUUAACGGAACUGGACGCCCGUUAUCCCUGCGCGGAAGGUCCUCUUUCUGGGGCGCCGGGCGCGUCCCUGAAGGCUCAGGAAGCGAAAGGGAGGACAAGCCGUAGUAAUACUUUAUCAUUUUCUGUCAGUCCUGAAGUGGACCUCCAGACAACAAAAGAUAACACAUCUGAAAGAAAUGGAUAGAACAUGCCCUGAAGAAUCCACUGCACGAACUUGUUUUUCUGACCAAGGAUUUCUCCUCAAUAGAAUCAUCUUGUUUGUACCUUGCACUGCAGCAAGUAGAAAUUUUAUCAAAUAAGGUGUACACUCAGUAGAAAUGAAAAGGCAGCACCAUUUACUUGGUGCAAAAAGAAGAUUGGAGAACACAGAGCAUGAGCUUCAUCUCUGAGGGUGAUAUGAUCAAACAACUUGGAGAUGACCGAAUGAAGUCAGAAUUUUUAACCCAGCUUGGUAAAACUCCAAACUCAAAUUGAUCUAUGUUGCUCCUAUAAAAACUAUCUAGUUGGGCCUCCCUGGUGGUGCAGGCAGUUGAGCGCCGCACUGUGAAGCUGUCCGUAGCCUCUGCAGUGAGGGAUUGAUUCCAGCUGGCCGGUGAGAAUCCCGCAUGGUGAAGCAGACCUCUCCUGUCUCUCCUGCUGCUCCCCUCAGCAGUGUAUUUCUUCAGUCUGGCUGUUCUGUUCCCCUCUCUGUCUCCAGUGAAUCCUCUCACCCUCCCACGCAUCUGGCCUGU